CGCGUAGGUAUCUAUCCUUGGGUGGGGACCAACCAACGGGAACCUUGUGGCUAAUACCGACAUGAUGACUGAGGUCCAAAGGACGCAAGUCGCCUAAGGAGGAGCCUGCGUCCGAUUAGCUUGUUGGUGGGGUAAAGGCCUACCAAGGCUCCGAUCGGUAGCUGGUCUGAGAGGAUGAUCAGCCACACUGGGACUGAGACACGGCCCAGACUCCUACGGGAGGCAGCAGUGGGGAAUAUUGGACAAUGGGCGGAAGCCUGAUCCAGCAAUGCCGCGUGGGUGAAGAAGGUCUUCGGGAUU
rnacentral:rRNA from 1 species